CUGUACAGUUCAGAGUUUGAUCCUGGCUCAGAACGAACGCUGGCGGCAGGCUUAACACAUGCAAGUCGAGCGCCCCGCCAAGGGGAGGCGGCAGACGGGUGAGUAACGCGUGGGAAUCUACCUAGCUCUACGGAAUAACCCAGGGAAACUUGGACUAAUACCGUAUACGUCCUUCGGGAGAAAGAUUUAUCGGAGUUAGAUGAGCCCGCGUUGGAUUAGCUAGUUGGUGGGGUAAUGGCCUACCAAGGCGACGAUCCAUAGCUGGUCUGAGAGGAUGAUCAGCCACACUGGGACUGAGACACGGCCCAG
rnacentral:rRNA from 1 species